rnacentral:rRNA from 1 species
AGUGUAACAUGUGCGCGAGUCAUUGGGUCUUGCUCAGGCCCAAAGGNGCAANNAAAGUGAAGNCCGCCCCGGUCGGCUGCGUUGGGAUCCCGCAUGCAUUNGCGGNCGCACCAACGGCCCCGUCCCGAUCGCCGCGUCGACGGGGCGGAGUGAGAGCGUACACGUUGGGACCCGAAAGAUGGUGAACUAUGCCUGGGCAGGANGAAGCCAGAGGAAACUCUGGUGGAGGUCCGCAGCGAUUCUGACGUGCAAAUCGAUCGUCAGACCUGGGUAUAGGGGCGAAAGACUAAUCGAACCAUCUAGUAGCUGGUUCCCUCCGAAGUUUCCCUCAGGAUAGCUGGCGCUCGGAGGAAGGCAUUCUCAUCCGGUAAAGCGAAUGAUUAGAGGCCUUGGGGCCGAAACGACCUCAACCUAUUCUCAAACUUUAAAUGGGUGAGAAGUCC